AUGGCCCAUGCGUCCAUCCCGGUCCUGGCUGUCCCGUCCAUCCCCAUCUGGCGACCGCUCGCCAUGGUCUGUCAGUC
rnacentral:sRNA from 2 species